rnacentral:lncRNA from 1 species
AUGAAAUUAGAUAGAAGUUGCUGGGGGUCACCCUCUCUGUUCAAUUUGAGAAUGUACUAUUAUAUUGUAAACGGUCCAGAUCCCCACCUCUAAACCAUAUAUUUUCUUGUAGGGGACAAUAAAACAAAUCAAAUGAAAUGUAGGUUAAGUCCCUGGGAGUCACCACCACCCCCUCCUGUUUGAAAACUUGUAAAUGGUGGAGAUCCCUACUCGUAAGCCAUAUAUAUUCUUGUAUGGGACAAAAUCAAAUCAAAUCAAAUCAACAUGGGAC